UGGGGAAUAUUGGACAAUGGGCGCAAGCCUGAUCCAGCCAUGCCGCGUGAGUGAUGAAGGCCCUAGGGUUGUAAAGCUCUUUCACCGGUGAAGAUAAUGACGGUAACCGGAGAAGAAGCCCCGGCUAACUUCGUGCCAGCAGCCGCGGUAAUACGAAGGGGGCUAGCGUUGUUCGGAUUUACUGGGCGUAAAGCGCACGUAGGCGGACUUUUAAGUCAGGGGUGAAAUCCCGGGGCUCAACCCCGGAACUGCCUUUGAUACUGGAAGUUUUGAGUAUGGUAGAGGUGAGUGGAAUUCCGAGUGUAGAGGUGAAAUUCGUAGAUAUUCGGAGGAACACCAGUGGCGAAGGCGGCUCACUGGACCAUUACUGACGCUGAGGUGCGAAAGCGUGGGGAGCAAACAGG
rnacentral:rRNA from 1 species